AUGGCAGGAAUCCUCGGGCAGGCAGGAGGCCAUGUCGGCGGCCAGCGCGGCCAGCACGAAGCCCGGGUGGCAAGCGCAGCGCGGCGACUCGCCGGGCGCCUCCAGGCAGCGCUGCUGGCACCCCCCGUUGAGGUCCCCGCAAUCCACCGGGCACAGCGGGCCGGGGGGGUGCCAGGCGAACCCCCCCGCGUCCAGCACCCCCUUGCAGACGGCGAACAGCGAGCGGCCCCCGCUGCGGCACCGCACCUCGGCCAGCGUGCCGAAGGGCGCGGCGGCCAGGCGGGCGGUGCGCACCCCGAACGGCGUGCUGAAGGACGCGGAGCCUCCGCCCGCCAGCGGCAGCAUCCCGCACAUCCCCCGAAAGCUGAACUUGCAGAGGAAAGCCGGCAGCGCGCUCCGGCACGGCCGGUCGCUCCAGCCGCCGUCCGGCCGCAGGCUGGCGCAGCGGGCGCUCACGCAGGUGUCCGCCGGCUCCGACGCCCACGCCGAGAAGUUGCCCUGCUCGCCGCCGGCUACCCAGGAGAAGCCUCGCAGCGGCUCCUGCGGCUGCACGCAGUGCCCCCGAGGCAGGGUCAGCCCCAGCCAAGCCGGGCCGGCCCAGCGGGCCGCGGCGAGCAGCUGCCGCAGCCGGGUGGCCUCGGCGGCCCCGCCCCCCCCCCCCCCCCCCCCCCCCCCCCCCCCCCCCCCCCCCCCCCAGCUGCCGCAGCCGGGUGGCCUCGGCGGCGCUGCGCGCCGGAGCCAGGUUGCCCCCGUUGUCCUGGCAGCGCUGCUGGGCGAUCCCCCAGGUGCUCUCGCUGCGGUGCAGGGUGUAGCAGGCGCUGUCGGCGCACAGCACCUCCACGUCCUCCCCCGCGCAGCGCCAGGCCAGCAGCAGCAGCGGCAGCAGCGGCCGGAGCUGCGCGCCGGAGCCAGGUUGCCCCCGUUGUCCUGGCAGCGCUGCUGGGCGAUCCCCCAGGUGCUCUCGCUGCGGUGCAGGGUGUAGCAGGCGCUGUCGGCGCACAGCACCUCCACGUCCUCCCCCGCGCAGCGCCAGGCCAGCAGCAGCAGCGGCAGCAGCGGCCGGAGCGCGGCCAUCCCGUCGGACAAAUGGACGAACGACCGGCCGAGCCGCGGCCGCCGCUCACCCCCCCCCCCCCCCCCCCCCCCCCCCCCCCCCCCCCCCCCCCCCCCCCCCCCCCCCCCCCCCCCCCCCCCCCCCCCCCCCCCCCCCCCCCCCCCCCCCCCCCCCCCCCCCCC
rnacentral:lncRNA from 1 species